CAGAGUUUUAAAAGAAACUUCGAAAAAAUGCUUAGAAGUUAGAGCAAACAUAGAUCUGAAAAAGAUCUAAAAAGAAAUCAAGAACCUUAGAGGUUAGGGUUUCAGAAGAACCCCAAGUAAUGAGAAAGGCCUUGAAAAUCAUCGAUCUAAGCAGGAGAUUCAAAAGUCUGACUCGAAUAGCCAUGGCUGGCCGGAGAAAAGUCGGAGAUGAUUGGAGAAUAGUCAUGAAUUGAAAUUGAACAAGGUCUGGACCAAGCUCUUUCAGGAUCUAGCGUUUUGACCAUAAAAAUCGAGCACGUAUAAGCCUUGGGGAGUUGAUACAUGUCUUCGAUGACCUUGGAAGCCAUAGAUUUGGAGGUAUUAGGGUUGUAGUUUGAUAGCGGAGGCUAGGGUUUGUGAGGGAUUGCAGAGAGAUUUGAGAGAGAAGAGGAUUCAAUGGGGGCGUUUGGUAUGAAAU
rnacentral:lncRNA from 1 species